CACCCCCACCCCCAAAUUUAACCGGGUGUGAUUCUCCCACUCUCCCUCUAAAUCUGGAUCGAUUCCCAAAUCUUUAACCACCUAUUGAGGAUGCCCAUUCAUCCUCCUUUUUGCAGCCUCUUCAUUCUCAAUCUGGAUGUCAGGUUAGAAAGGAUCUUGAAAUCACCUUCAUCAUAUACUCAAAAAUUUUGAAUCGCUUGGAGUCGACUUUAGGUCGCUUCAUUAUGGAUAGCAUAGAAAGGGGAAGGCGAAGUCGGGUGUAGGCUCCUGGAAGUGAUGUCUUCUAAUGCACUCAAUCGACCUCGGUUCUAUCCAUAAGGCACUGAAUCUUACCACACACCCACUUUCAGAACCUUUUUUUCUAUUAAAAGGACCAGUUUUGAAUGAUGCUUGUGUGAAUCAAUUCAAAAUGAUGUCAGAAAAGAUUGUUUGGUUGAACCAAGAGAGGAGCUUUAUUCAGGUUACCAUGAAUCUGUACCAGAGGGAUUGAGGCUACAGAGAUACAAAGUGAAACAAUGGAGAUGGAGGUUCAAUUUCCGAAAAGCAGUUGAGAGAGAGAGAGAGAGAUCUCACUCCCUCCCAAACAGAGGGCCCUAAAGUGCUCGGAAUUGGUGGUGGACUCGGGUUACUCUCGGAAUACUUCGUUUGUCCAGCGGGUGCCCCAAAAGUGCUUGAGAUUGAUUCUGUUGGCUCUUAAAAAAAAGAGGGCCCUAACACACUUCUAAUUUAUGAAGUUCAGAGAUCUAAAUCUCUGUGUAUAGCAUUUAAUUUUAAUAACAGUGAAUACUUCGCUACUGGUGCAAACGAGUCGAGUUGCUCAUGAGCUACUUGAGAUCGGCUUGUUGAUAACUUGAAUUGAGCCCGAGCUUAAUCUUUCAUCAACGGUAAUUUCAUAAAAGAGCUCGAGCUUGAGCCUACUUGCGAGCCUAAACAAGCUUUUUAUUUUUAUAAUGAUUAUUUGAUAUAUCUAUAUAAUAGUUAUUAGUAUAUAGAGAAUUAAGAUAAAGUUAAUUAAAUAGUAUAUACUAUCUUUUAUAUAAAAACUAUAAUUAUUAAUAUAUAUGUAAAUAAUUACAAAAUGUCCAAAUAAAGUAAUUAUAUUGAUAAUAUAUAAUAAAGGAGUUGCGCCCAAACAUGUAAAGCUACCCAUAAACCAGGCUUGAGCUUUAAUGACCAUGAGCUCUCUUCAAUCAAAUGAUCCAAGCUUGAGCGGCCCUAUAUAGCUUGGCUCGGCUUGUUUACACCCCUAACCAUGAAUACCCAUGUCCAUGUUGUACAAAAUACAAACUAUGAUGCUAUUAUUUCUAUGUAAGAUUUGCAGGAAGGUGGAAGCAAUUUUAAAACCAUGGGUGGUUCACAGGGGAAAGAAUUGGUUUAUAGGCUUGAAGGGCUUUAUUAUAAAGAUAAAAAGUUUUAUUAUUUCUAUUUUUUUGCUGGUACAAUCAUCGUUCUUUCAUUGAUGGUUCAUGAGAUGGAUUACAAGAUUUUGAAGAACCUAAGGAUGCGAGGAUGCACGAUAAGCAAAGUGGGAAUUUGCUAAAGAAGAGUAGAUGUUUACGGGAACAAAUGAUGAACUACAAAAUGGAAGUGAUUUGGUGGAAUAAGGAGUAUGAUGGCGAUGUUCGACUUUACGGGAGUCGUGUUACUAAAAAAUGAUGAAGAAAAUGGAUGGCGGUGAGGAACCAUACAUGAUUCCGGGUGUACUUAUGGAAACAUUCAAAGGGAGCUUUAAGUUGAGAAGACACAAUUGCUUGAAAUGCGAAAAGAAAUUGAAGAUGACCAUCGAAGGAAAAAAAGUUAAGGUAGAAGCUAUGUAGAAAGAUUUUGACAACAAGCGAUCGAACUUUGAAGCUAUUGCAAUAUAUUAUAGAAAAGCUACCUAUUGGAGUACUUCAAUAUCCUAGAGAUGAGUAGAGGUGUUUGUUACUUUAUAUAAUUGUAAUUAAAAAUUUAUUUUGAUUAAAUUGUUAUUUUGACUUUACACUAUGUUAGAUUAUGAUUUAGUAUUAUCUAUUUUAUUUAUGUUA